rnacentral:rRNA from 1 species
UACAGAGGGUGCAAGCGUUAAUCGGAAUUACUGGGCGUAAAGCGUGCGUAGACGGUCAUGUAAGUCGGGUGUGAAAGCCCCGGGCUCAACCUGGGAAUUGCAUUCGAGACUGUAUGGCUAGGGUGCGGAAGAGGGAAGCGGAAUUUCCGGUGUAGCGGUGAAAUGCGUAGAUAUCGGAAGGAACACCAGUGGCGAAAGCGGCUUCCUGGUCCAGCACCGACGUUCAGGCACGAAAGCGUGGGAG